GAUGAACGCUGGCGGCGUGCCUAAUACAUGCAAGUCGAGCGGCAGCAUAGUCUUCGGACUGAUGGCGAGCGGCGGACGGCAGAGUAACGCGUAGGAACAUACCCCAAACUGAGGGAUAACUGCUCGAAAGAGUAGCUAAUACCGCAUGUGGUCUUAGGACUAAAGCUUCGGCGGUUUGGGAAUGGCCUGCGUCUGAUUAGCUUGUUGGUGAGGUAAAAGCUCACCAAGGCGACGAUCGGUAGCUGGUCUGAGAGGAUGAUCAGCCUGACUGGAACUGAGAACGGUCCAGACUCCUACGGGAGGCAGCAGUAGGGAAUUUUCCACCAAAUGGGCGGAAAGACCUGAUGGAGCAACGCCGCGUGCAGGAUGAAUGCC
rnacentral:rRNA from 1 species